rnacentral:lncRNA from 1 species
GAUAACAGUCAAUAGUACUGCCACGGUUGCAGGGUUUAAUUGUUGACUAGCAUUUAAAAAUGUAGCUUUUUAAUGUUUAAGCAGCUCUGGAAUGAGAAGACUGGAGGGUGACUCUCAGGGGGCUAGAACAGGAAGGAUUUAUGUGAUCCUAUUAGCCAGAGUCGGAUACUAGCUUGGGGUUCCUUCUGUGUGGAGUUUUUUUCUUCUCACCAUGUCCAUGUGGGUUUUCUGGCUUAUUCCACUGAUGCCGAUCCUCAAGAAGUGAACAUCGAGCCAUGGAACCUUGUUAGUAACACAGUAUAGUAAAAUGUAUGGCAGGAGAAGGGCAAGCACUUCAUCUGUCUUGAAAAUCAAAUGACAUUCAAUCAUCUAUAGAAACAUUUUUAACAGCUCUUUCAAAAUGUAACAGAUUGUUGCCUUACUAUAACAAUAUAUGCACACUUAUCCUAGG